CUCUCAGGCUGAGCUGCCUGUAAAUCAAACUCUUUGAGGAAUGUGAAGCUUUCUGCUAGCGGAGGAUGCCACAGUGUCCCGCUGCACUUGGAUCAAGCUGAGCACUAAUGUGAAGCAAGGAUUCUGUGUCUGCCACUAAAACUGUCCUGUAUGAAGACUGUUUCAGCUGUCAUGCCUUUCAUCACGUCAGGUUCAAGCCGAAGAGGCAGGCCUGGUGAAUGUGGCUUUCUUCCUCUGCUGUCUCACUCUAGCUACAGGACAAAUAAUGAAGUGGUGUGAAAUUGUGUUGGACCCAGAUACUCUCCUGCCAAAAAUAUCAUCAAAAACGCUCUUGGAAAUUAUCUGUGUACUGUUUCAUGUUGGCAUUUCUGAUAAUGGGAUGGAAUAAACA